rnacentral:rRNA from 1 species
GUGGAUUAGAUACCCUAGUAGUCCUGGCCCUAAACGAUGCGCACUAGAUAGCGGCUCAUUCCGAUGAGCCGCUGUCGGAGCAAAAGCAUUAAGUGCGCCGCCUGGGGAGUACGGCCGCAAGGUUAAAACUCAAAGGAAUUGACGGGGGCUCACACAAGCGGUGGAGGAUGUUGCUCAAUUCGAAGCAACGCGAAGAACCUUACCAGGACUUGACAUGCUCGUAGUAGGAGCCGGAAACGGUGACGACCUCCCGCAAGGGGGGGGCGAGCACAGGUGUUGCAUGGCUGUCGUCAACU